rnacentral:rRNA from 1 species
GAUGAACGCUGGCGGCGUGCCUAACACAUGCAAGUCGAGCGAACCCUUCGGGGUGAGCGGCGGACGGGUGAGUAACGCGUGGGUAACCUGCCCUGUACACACGGAUAACAUACCGAAAGGUAUGCUAAUACGGGAUAACAUAUGAGAGUCGCAUGGUUUUUGUAUCAAAGCUCCGGCGGUACAGGAUGGACCCGCGUCUGAUUAGCUAGUUGGUAAGGUAACGGCUUACCAAGGCAACGAUCAGUAGCCGACCUGAGAGGGUGAUCGGCCACAUUGGAACUGAGACACGGUCCAAACUCCUACGGGAGGCAGCAGUGGGGAAUAUUGCACAAUGGGCGAAAGCCUGAUGCAGCAACGCCGCGUGAGCGAUGAAGGCCUUCGGGUCGUAAAGCUCUGUCCUCAAGGAAGAUAAUGGCGGUACUUGAGGAGGAAGCCCCGGCUAACUACGUGCCAGCCGCCGCAGUAAGAC